AAGUUGCUUUGCAAUGAUCUGUAUCGUAAAAAGCGCUAUACAAAUAAACUUGAAUUGAAUUUAUUUCAGUAAUUCAACUCAAAUUGUGAAACUUGUGUAUUACAUAAAUUCAAUGCACACAGACUGAAGUAGUUUAAGUCUUUGUUUUUUUUUUAAUUGUGAUGAUUUAGGCUCACAUUUAACAAAAACCCACCAAUUCACUACCUCAACAAAUAAGAAUAUUUCAUAAGACCAAUUAAAAUAAUAAUAAUAAUAAUAAUAAUAAUAAUAAUAAUACUAAUAAUAAUAAUAAUACUAAUAAUAAUAAAAAUUUUAGUGAAUUGUUGGCCUUCUGGAAAGUAUGUUCAUUUACUGUACAUGUACUCAAUACUUAGUAGGGGCUCCUUUUGCUUUAAUUACUGCCUCAUUUUGGCGUGACAUAAAGUACUCAAGAUGGCGGUGUCCACACGCAGCGGCUUCUCUCUGUCCCGACAGAAUGGUGUUUUCGUGUUUUUUGUCUUGUGAGUCGCAGUGUUUUUGUAUGUUGUCAUCACGUCUAUCUGUCUUAAAGCGCGCAUACAGUCGUGAGUUUCUGCUGGAUGUCGGUAGAGCCGCAUUUUUAGAGUUAAACUCCGUGCACACGGAACAGCUGCGAGAUCUCGGACUGCUCCGGAGGCCUACAUCAUCACCGACCCCCACUGCUGCAUCUCGCCCACAGCGGAGGCGCCACAAGCGGCGUGAGAGGAAGCAGAAGAGGGGUAAGCGUGGAGGUAUCCGGGCUAGGCUAAUGGCUAACCCACACAAGCCAACUAUCCCCAUCAUCGUACUGGCUAACGUACGCUCUUUGGACAAUAAACUGGACUUCAUCCGAUUACUACGUUCAACUCAAAGGACUGUAAGAGACUGUUGUGUUUUUGUAUUCACGGAAACAUGGCUCAGCGACAGCGUUCCGGACUGCACCAUUCAGCUCGACCAGCUGACGUGCUAUCGAGCAGACAGAGCUCGCGUCGCGGGAGGAAAAACCAGCGGCGGCGGGCUUUGUGUUUACAUCAAUGACGCGUGGUGCCGCGAUGCUGUUGUGAUCUGCAAACACUGCUCACCCCUGGUGGAGUUUAUGAUUUUUAAGUGCCGGCCGUUCUAUCUGCCGAGGGAAUAUACUGCCAUACUGCUCGUUUCGGUUUACAUUCCCCCGAACAACAACAACAGCAACAGGAACGAUGCACUAAAUAAACUGUACCAGCACAUCAGUGAGCAGCAGACAGCACACCCCGAUGCUUUUCUCAUCAUAGCUGGGGAUUUCAACCAUGCUGACUUAAAGAGUGUAUUUCCUAAAAUACACCAACACAUUAACUUUCCAACAAGAGGUAAAAACAUUUUAGACNNNNNNNNNNNNNNNNNNNNNNNNNNNNNNN
ensembl:lncRNA